rnacentral:misc_RNA from 1 species
UUUUUCCCAUUUCAACAUUUCCCAGAAACGGAGGGAAAAACCCAAAAAUUAAGAGGGAAAAUUAGACCCUGAAAUUCUUUCCAGUGAAAGUUUGACCAAAUUGCCAAUGUGAAGGGACAAUAUUCCAAGAGGUGGAGGUACGUCUGUCACUGGCUGUGACCCUGAAAGAGAGUGACUGACCAACUAAAAUAGCAUUUGAUUGCCAGUUUUGACCCCAGUUACGGCUCAUCGUCAUCCAUCCAGUAUUUGCGCCCUUCACGCUCGCCUUCACGAUAUCUCCUGCACC